CAGGCUUCAUCAAAAUUCGCUCUAGUGAGCAUGCUCCGCAGACUUAGCUUGGCCAGUACUCUCCUAGAGCACCCACACUUGUGACCCGUGCUCCAAUUUGACGGUUGCAGGUCUCUCCGACGAGAUCAGCCUGCACCCAAAACCGCCGUCCGCCGGAGUGGAAGUUACCGUCGACGUGGUGCUCGUCGACGACCCCUUCCCCAACCCCCGUCAUGGAAAGACCCCGUGAGUCUGCAUGUUCCCUUUCCCCUCUCUCGUUCGCAGCGGACCGUCACCCGCGAGCACCGCAAACUCUUUGUCGCAUGCGUCGAAGUUAAAACUUGACAUAGGUGGCCGAUUGUCAGGGUUCUUUUCUUUUUGAACCGUUUUUUGAAAACGCCUUUUGCGACAAUACAUUUCCUCCUCCAGGUUGUGUAAUUUAUUCAAAACAUUUUCUAUUUUUCCAGUCUACCCCUGGAUAAUUUUCUAUUUAUCACAGAUAAGUCCCUGGUUUUAGUUUCCUUAUAACUUUUAAACUAAAGAGGGUUUUUAGUUGAUUCUUUUUCUAAUUUUUUUGUUAUAUUGUCUAAUUUUUUGUGGUAUUUAUUUAAACAUAUUUGGAGACAACUUUUAUAUGCACUCGAAAUUUACAUUAGAAUCCGAUAUUUGUGUGACGUAGAUACCGAAGGAGGAGACGCUGCCGUCAACUUCGCCGAGCUAGCCUCCAACUUCGUCGACCCAGGCAAGCAUGUUUGAACAUUUGAUGUGAUGUUUGCUGACAUGAUUGCUUGAUAAACUUGUUGCAUAUGAAAUUAUAGCAUGACAUGUGGUAUUAUUUCAUGCAUGGUUAAGUUAACACUUGUGAAGUGAUGAGGGGCCUUUGGACCGCCUAGUCAUGUGGGACGUGAUAGGUUGUGGCCUGGUCAUGUCAUUUGCAUGAUAGUAUGUGAAAAAAUUAAUACCUCUCGUAUUGCCACAAGUCUCCCCGAAAGGUAAUACGGUUUAUUAAGAUGUGAUCCUAUUUCCAUAUGCACACCAAGUAGAGGGGUCGGAUGAAGGUUCCAUGGCCAUCGAAUAAUGCCACUCAUCCGGUCAUGGAGCAUGGGUGUUUCCGACGUGGGGCUGAGAGGGGGGCACCCCUUACUAGCGUGUGGUAUAAAUUUGAGCCCAUGCUAUUCGAGGAUAUUGGCCUCCCCGUAUUAUAUUUUCCCCUUGAAGUGUAGUUCGUGUGCUUCCGGACCUCGCUGGGUAAAAAUGGGUGUGUGCUGGUUAGGUGUGUUUACUUUAAAAUAUCGUACACGGGAUUAGUCCUUAUGACUAUCGAAAACCGUUGGCUGUGGGUAAAGAGUACACCGUGUGCAGAGUCAAAACUAUUUGAGUAGCCGCGUCCACAGUCAAGGAUGACUGGUUGACAGAUCAAGUGUCGGUCUUUCGAGAACAAAAUAUUAUUUGUGAAAAUUCUUACUUUUGAUUAUAUGACUGUGACAUUUACAGCUAACGUGUUGAAACCUUGCUUGUGUUGAGUAUCCCGUAGGUUGGUUGUACCACCCGGAUAUUCACUUGUUGUUAUUGAAUUAUUUAUGCCAUUUCCAUGGUGUCGCAUAGACGCUCGACUCUGACAAGUAUUUAUUUUAUUUAUGCCCUUUCCAUGGUGUCGCUUAGACUCCCGAGUGUGGCCUGUUAAUUUAUUAUUAAGCCUUGUAUACGAUGCCGCUUAGACGCUCGACUAUGGCUUGUUAAUUUAUUAUUAAGCCCUGUAUGCAGUGUUGGUUAGACGGCCGACUGUGUCCUGUUCAUUUAUUAUUAAGCCUUGUAUGCGAUGUCGCUUAGACGCCCAAUUGUGGCCAGUUAAUUUAUUAUUAAGCUCUUUAUGCGGUGUCACCUAGAUGCCCGACUGUGGCAGUGUACUUUUAUUAUUAACCUUUCGAGGUGUAGCUUCAGACACCCGAUUGAUGUAUUUUAUUUUUCUGGGAUAUUUCGGGAGGACUACCGCUCGACUUACCUACCUUUACUUUACUUAAACUUUUCGCUAAUUUAUUAACCUUGCUGAUUGUGACAAUUAAAAUAACUUGUCCAUGUGCAUUGCGCUCACAUUCAAUUUAUCUUAUGUCCGAACGGUCGCGUGAGUACUUUCAAAGUACUCACUGGCUUGUUGAUUUAGUCAGAUAUUGAUGAGGGAGAUCUCAUGAAUGAAGAGUACGAUAUCGAGUACGAUGCCUAGGGAAUCCUAGUUAGUCUUGCGAUCUUGGAGUUCGUCGUUGUAUUAUUCCAUCGCUUCCGCUACCAUGAAUAAAUUGCCGAGCCUCACUGCGACGCUUGAGAGGUCGUAGUAGUUUGAGUCGUGUCACUUCACUCCGUUGUGACACGUCCACCUAUAUAUGCGAGUUAGUAAUGUUACCGCCAUAAUCAUUGUGUUAGAUCCGCCUCUAUGUUAAAUAUGGGCGUGCUUGUAAUAAACUAUUGAGCGACCUUCACUCAACCCUGUAUAAUAUUACCUACUACUUGCUUUUGUGUAUCAAGAUUGGUCAACCAGUGUGAAUUAUUUUCUAUGUUGGGUUGACAUUCACGACUAAUUUCUGAUAAUUAUAUGAGGGAUUUUGAAGCCGGUCCUGACAACCUUAGUAUCAGAUCCUAGCUCACUGUAGGAAAUCACUAGGUGCGAUCACUAACUGGUUAAUUAGUCUAAGUUAAUUGAGCGUUCUGCAUACUAUAGAAAUGUUUCUCCUAGUGAACAUAUAUUUAUGUUAUGACUAUCUGGAAAAAAAAUUCUACUGUGUAGAUGGCUGUCGACGGUUGUCCGUCACAAAUAUUUGCCAAUGAGCCGGCGAGAUUUUUGCAACUUCUCUCCACAUCGUCAGGAUUGUGAUUGGACCAACGACUUGUACCGAGUACUCUCUCUAUAGCCACAGGAUCAACAACACUCUAACUAUACAUCAGGCCUCGUUGCAGUUCAAGGGUGGAUGCAUCAAGACCAGCCGCCUUCGCUUUGUCAGGAGAACCAUGCCUAUGGAAAGGCAGGUUAUGCAGAUGGCUGCCAGGGAGGCUAUUGCACGCCUUCGGAACAUCCUUCCAAUGAUGAAGACUCGUCCUUAUCACUACCAUCCGUGUCAUGUUCUGUACAUGACACAUUACACUUUUGCUAGCACUAGAGGAAAGAAUGAUGAGGUCGUUGAGAUACUCAUGCAAUACCUCAUGGCGUAGGAGUCAACUUUUGAUGGCUUAGUGGAUGACUUAGUGGCCGCUCGUAUGGAUGUUGCUCAGGCUUGUCCUCCUAACAGGACUGAGCGUCUCUGUCCGGCGCCACCUCGGUCAUGCCCUUCAUCCUAUGCUUCAUGCACGCUACUAGUGCAGGCAGUAUGCCGCCAACUGGCGUCCCUUGAGGAUUUUAAUCAAAUUAUUGCUCCUAACCCUAUUAGGACUGCUCUUCCUGCUAGGCCCGUCCAUGCUUUGCAGCCACGCACCGCUCGUCUGGAGCUUGUUCAAGAGGAGGUUGAUUCCCCAGCACCUUGUCUGGGACUUACCCUUGGCAGGCCGAUUGAUAUUCCGUCCACCUCUAGCUAGAUAGUGGUGUAGCGGCACGUGAGGACGUCUUGUAUGAUAUGUAUGAUAUGGUUGCUUGCUUGUAGGCUUGGAGAGAAGUAGUCAUGUUGCAUCAUGUAGGAUAUAGAGAAGUGCACUAGCCUAAAUAACAUGUCAGGAAUGUGUACGCACAUCUUGAGUGAUGUAAUGUAUACUUAUGC
rnacentral:lncRNA from 1 species